AUUGAACGCUGGCGGCAUGCUUUACACAUGCAAGUCGAACGGUAACAGGCCUUCGGGUGCUGACGAGUGGCGAACGGGUGCGUAAUGCAUCGGAACGUACCCAGAGGUGGGGGAUAACGCAGCGAAAGCUGUGCUAAUACCGCAUGUGAUCUGAGGUUGAAAGCGGGGGACCGCGCAGCAAUGUUUGGCCUCGCGCCUUUGGAGCGGCCGAUGUCGGAUUAGCUAGUUGGUGGGGUAAAGUCCUACCAAGGCGACGAUCCGUAGCUGGUCUGAGAGGACGACCAGCCACACUGGGACUGAGACACGGCCCAGACUCCUACGGGAGGCAGCAGUGGGGAAUUUUGGACAAUGGGCGCAAGCCUGAUCCAGCAAUGCCGCGUGCGGGAAGAAGGCCUUCGGGUUGUAAACCGCUUUUGGCAGGAACGAAACGGUGUCCGCUAAUACCGGGCGCUAAUGACGGUACCUGCAGAAUAAGCACCGGCUAACUACGUG
rnacentral:rRNA from 1 species